AGUUAGCGCUGGCGGUAGGCCUAACACAUGCAAGUCUAACGGCAGCACAGUAAGAGCUUGCUCUUACGGGUGGCGAGUGGCGUACGGGUGAGGAAUACAUCGGAAUCUACUUUUUCGUGGGGGAUAACGUAGGGAAACUUACGCUAAUACCUCAUACUACCUACGGGUGAAAGCAGGGGAUCUUCGGACCUUGCGCGAUUGAAUGAGCCGAUGUCGGAUUAGCUAGUUGGCGGGGUAAAGGCCCACCAAGGCGACGAUCCGUAGCUGGUCUGAGAGGAUGGUCAGCCACACUGGAACUGAGACACGGUCCAGACUCAUACGGGAGGCAGCAGUGGGGAAUAUUGGACAAAGGGCGCAAGCCUGAUCCAGCCAUACCGCGUGGGUGAAGAAGGCCUUCGGGUUGUAAAGCCCUUUUGUUGGGAAAGAAAAGCAGCAGGUUAAUACCCCGAUGUUCUGACGGUACCCAAAGAAUAAGCACCGGCUAACUUCGUG
rnacentral:rRNA from 1 species